CUCCAGGAAAGAGGGGAACAGAGGGCAGCAGAAAUGCUGUGUAAGGCUUGAAGCAGAUAGGUUCUGAAUCUGUGUCCAUCACUGUGGUAUCUGAAUGCAGGAUUGGAAAUGCGCAAUGUGGUCCCAUCUCAAUAUUGUGUCAAACAGGAACCUUAAUGUGAACACAUUCAAACUUUUGGAAAGAAACCAAGUGUGAAGGCAGUAAAUCAAGCAGGUGAAUGAAUGACAUGAAAUCCAUUGUUUAAGUAACAGUCUUUUUUCAGUAUAUUGCAAGUGUCAAACAAUCAGAUUAAAAAUUUGAGCAGCCCUGGGAUGAAUGAAUUAAACAUCUCAAGUAAUCUUGAUGAGAGAGUACAUUUCACACAAA